rnacentral:rRNA from 1 species
AGCUCCAAUAGCGUAUAUUAAAGUUGUUGUGGUUAAAAAGCUCGUAGUUGGAUUUCCGAGGCAAGGGAUUAGUCCGACCUUUGGUGGGUAUUUAAUCCUCUUGCCUCGUCCUUGAGUGGUGCUUCUUGGUAUUAAGUUAUCGAGGAGAUAGCCGCUCAUCGUUUACUGUGAGAAAAUUAGAGUGUUCAAAGCAGGCUUAUGCCGUUGAAUAUAUUAGCAUGGAAUAAUAAGAUAGGACCUCGGUACUAUUUUGUUGGUUUGAGAACCAAGGUAAUGAUGAAUAGGGACAGUUGGGGGUAUUCGUAUUCAGUUGUCAGAGGUGAAAUUCUUAGAUUUACGGAAGACGAACUACUGCGAAAGCAUUUACCAAGGAUGUUUUCA